ACGCUGGCGGCGUGCUUAACACAUGCAAGUCGAGCGAUGAAGCACCUUCGGGUGUGAAUUAGCGGCGAACGGGUGAGGAACACGUGAGAAAUCUGCCUUCAACACUGGGAUAACUCCGGGAAACCGGGGCUAAUACCGGAUAUGAAACCUGCGGGCAUCCGCGGGUUUGGAAAGUUUUUCGGUUGAAGAUGAUCUCGCGGCCUAUCAGCUUGUUGGUGAGGUAAUGGCUCACCAAGGCGACGACGGGUAGCCGGCCUGAGAGGGCGACCGGCCACACUGGGACUGAGACACGGCCCAGACUCCUACGGGAGGCAGCAGUGGGGAAUAUUGGGCAAUGGAGGAAACUCUGACCCAGCGACGCCGCGUGCGGGAUGAAGGCCUUCGGGUUGUAAACCGCUUUCAGCAGGGAAGAAGCGAAAGUGACGGUACCUGCAGAAGAAGCACCGGCUAACUAUGUG
rnacentral:rRNA from 1 species